GCCUUCUCGUAAGACAAUCAUUUUUUCAUGAUGACGUGAGGAACUUCACCAAAUUGGGAGGUGGUGUCACUGGUUGUCGAGGGUUUCACUCUAGCUUCUGCACUACCCAAGGUGGUUUGUCAUUGAAUAUGAAUGUCUUGACUACGAUGAUCCGGACCCCUGGUCCUGUUAUAGACUUUUUAACUGCCAACCAGAAUCUCAGGGAUUACUAUCAGAUUGACUGGGCCAAGGCCCAGAAGAUGCUGAAGAAUCUGAGGGUUAUGGCUAGGCAUAAUAGUAUGGAGUUCAAGAUCAGAGGAUUAAGUGAGAUGUCGUGCAAUCAGCAGCUGUAUGUGCUCCAUUCUUUCUCACUGGAUUUUAUUGCUCUAUUCCUUUGUCAAGCAAGUUACAAUUCACAUGAUACUUGCUUAA